rnacentral:rRNA from 1 species
UACAGAGGGGGCGAGCGUUGUUCGGAAUUACUGGGCGUAAAGGGCGCGUAGGCGGCCAACUAAGUCAGACGUGAAAUCCCUCGGCUCAACCGGGGAACUGCGUCUGAUACUGGAUGGCUUGAAUUCGGGAGAGGGAUGCGGAAUUCCAGGUGUAGCGGUGAAAUGCGUAGAUAUCUGGAGGAACACCGGUGGCGAAGGCGGCAUCCUGGACCAAUUCUGACGCUGAUGAGCGAAAGCCAGGGGAGCAAACGGG